GACGAACGCUGGCGGCGUGCUUAACACAUGCAAGUCGAGCGGAGCGGCGAACGGGUGAGUAACGCGUGAGUAACUGCCCCCCUCUCUGGGAUAACAGUUGGAAACGGCUGCUAAUACCGGAUAGUGGGGGAUGACUCGCGUCCUAUCAGCUUGUUGGUGGGGUAGUGGCCUACCAAGGCGACGACGGGUAGCCGGCCUGAGAGGGCGACCGGCCACAUUGGGCUGAGAUACGGCCCAAACUCCUACGGGAGGCAGCAGUGGGGAUUAUUGCACCAGGGGGGAAACCCUGAUGCAGCAACGCGCGUGCGGGAGGGCGGGCUGCGGGUUGGAAACCGCGUUUAGCCACAAGGCGGUAGUCGCACAAGAAGCACCGGCUAACUACGUGCCAGCAGCCGCGGUAAUUC
rnacentral:rRNA from 1 species